AUGUUCGGGCUUCUUUUCAGAUCGUGUAAAUCUUUCGCCUUUUACUAAAGAUUUCCGUGGAGAGAAACCACUGAGUCAUAAACUAAUUUUUUGAGGCCUCCCCUUGGUGAGGCU